GACGGAGGAGGCAAGCGUUAUCCGGAAUUAUUGGGCGUAAAGCGUCCGCAGGUGGCGAUUCAAGUCUGCUGUCAAAGGUCGGGGCUUAACCCCGGGAAGGCAGUGGAAACUGAAUAGCUAGAGUGCGGUCGGGGCAGAGGGAAUUCCCGGUGUAGCGGUGAAAUGCGGAGAGAUCGGGAAGAACACCAGUGGCGAAAGCGCUCUGCUGGGCCUGCACUGACACUGAGGGACGAAAUCUAGGGGAGCGAAAGGG
rnacentral:rRNA from 1 species